CAGCAGCCGCGGUAAUACGAAGGGGGCUAGCGUUGUUCGGAAUUACUGGGCGUAAAGCGCACGUAGGCGGAUAUUUAAGUCAGGGGUGAAAUCCCGCAGCUCAACUGCGGAACUGCCUUUGAUACUGGGUAUCUUGAGUAUGGAAGAGGUUAGUGGAAUUGCGAGUGUAGAGGUGAAAUUCGUAGAUAUUCGCAGAAACACCAGUGGCGAAGGCGGCUAACUGGUCCAUAACUGACGCUGAGGUGCGAAAGCGUGGGGAGCAAACAGGAUUAGAUACCCCGGUAGUCCCUGUCUCUUAUCC
rnacentral:rRNA from 1 species